GCCGAUGACGAGCGUUAGCCACGCUGACUGAUGAGGAAAAGAGGGUUAGCCGAGG
rnacentral:snoRNA from 19 species